rnacentral:SRP_RNA from 1 species
CGUCGGUUCCCCCGCGACGAUAGCUUGCGAACCCCGCCAGGCCCGGAAGGGAGCAACGGUAGCAAGUGAUUCGGGUGCCGGGGUGUGGCUGGCGGGG